GAGACGGAGUGAGAUUAGAGCUCACAGGAGGAACGAAGGGAGGGAGGGACGGACGGACGGGGGGCAUUAACCUGGACCCACAUCCUGCCCUGAGCAUCUUUAUUUUGUGAGUUUACCUGCAGGCUGCUUUUAGGAUUUUAAUGUCACGCAAAGUCACGUCUGUGCAGAGGUGAUGCAGAUUUAUUUGUAUAUUUAAUAAAAGUAUUGUUAAAGCCCUGACCCGGUCGACCCAGGUCCUGGUUCUCCUCCUAAAACCAUCCGAGCUUCAUCACGUCCGUCACUCUGCAGAUGCUCUCUCUCAGGCCACAUGUGACCCGUCGGAGGGGGAACCGGGAAGUACAGCGGCGCGAGCUCUGGGGGUAAAGACGGCGAGGCAAAGAGGAAAAAAAAACAGAUGGCUGGACGGGACCAGGGGAGGACGGGUCACGUGACGG